rnacentral:rRNA from 1 species
GGUUGCGAUCAUACCAGCACUAAUGCACCGGAUCCCAUCAGAACUCCGCAGUUAAGCGUGCUUGGACGAGAGUAGUACUAGGAUGGGUGACCCCCUGGGAAGUCCUCGUGUUGCAACCC